rnacentral:rRNA from 1 species
CCUACGGGUGGCAGCAGUCGAGAAUCAUUCACAAUGGGGGAAACCCUGAUGGUGCGACGCCGCGUGGGGGAAUGAAGGUCUUCGGAUUGUAAACCCCUGUCAUGUGGGAGCAAAUUAAAAAGAUAGUACCACAAGAGGAAGAGACGGCUAACUCUGUGCCAGCAGCCGCGGUAAUACAGAGGUCUCAAGCGUUGUUCGGAAUCACUGGGCGUAAGGCGUGCGUAGGCUGUUUCGUAGGUCGUGUGUGAAAGGCGCGGGCUCAACCCGCGGACGGCACAUGAUACUGCGAGACUAGAGUAAUGGAGGGGGAACCGGAAUUCGCGGUGUAGCAGUGAAAUGCGUAGAUAUCGAGAGGAACACUCGUGGCGAAGGCGGGUUCCUGGACAUUAACUGACGCUGAGGCACGAAGGCCAGGGGAGCGAAAGGGAUUAGAUACCCGGGUAGUC